GGGCACGUAGCUCAGUUGGACAGAGCGUCCGGCUUCUAACCGGACGGUCGUGGGUUCGAAUCCCAUCGUGCCCG
rnacentral:tRNA from 1 species